rnacentral:rRNA from 1 species
ACGGGAGGCAGCAGUGGGGAAUAUUGGACAAUGGGGGAAACCCUGAUCCAGCGACGCCGCGUGAGUGAAGAAGUAUUUCGGUAUGUAAAGCUCUAUCAGCAGGGAAGAUAAUGACGGUACCUGACUAAGAAGCCCCGGCUAACUACGUGCCAGCAGCCGCGGUAAUACGUAGGGGGCAAGCGUUAUCCGGAUUUACUGGGUGUAAAGGGAGCGUAGACGGUAUGGCAAGUCUGAUGUGAAAACCCAAGGCUCAACCAUGGGACUGCAUUGGAAACUGUCAAACUAGAGUGCAGGAGGGGUAAGCGGAAUUCCUAGUGUAGCGGUGAAAUGCGUAGAUAUUAGGAGGAACACCGGUGGCGAAGGCGGCUUGCUGGACUGUAACUGACGUUGAGGCUCGAAAGCGUGGGGAGCAAACAGGAUUAGAUACCCUGGUA